rnacentral:pre_miRNA from 2 species
AGGACCGCGUUGGAGAAGCAGGGCACGUGCAUGCAUGCGGGCCUGUUGCUCCCCCCUCCUGCCUCCGUGGGUGUGGGAUCGGAGCUAACACGCUGCCUCGCUAGUCCUGCACGUGUUCUUCUCCUCCAUCACGGUCUU